GACGAACGCUGGCGGCGUGCCUAAUACAUGCAAGUCGAGCGGAGUUUCAGAAGUAGCUUGCUACGGAAGAGAUUUAGCGGCGGACGGGUGAGUAACACGUAGGUAACCUGCCUGUAAGACUGGGAUAACCUCCGGAAACGGAAGCUAAGACCGGAUACGUAACCUUCUCGCAUGAGGGGGUUUGGAAAGACGGAGCAAUCUGUCACUUAUAGAUGGGCCUGCGGCGCAUUAGCUAGUAGGUGAGGUAAAGGCUCACCUAGGCGACGAUGCGUAGCCGACCUGAGAGGGUGAACGGCCACACUGGGACUGAGACACGGCCCAGACUCCUACGGGAGGCAGCAGUAGGGAAUCUUCGGCAAUGGACGCAAGUCUGACCGAGCAACGCCGCGUGAGUGAGGAAGGGUUUCGGCUCGUAAAACUCUGUUGCCAGAGAAGAACGUCCGGUGGAGUAACUGCCAUCGGAGUGACGG
rnacentral:rRNA from 1 species